AUUCAGUAUUUCUUAUUAGAGAGUCACUUACAGUUUGACCAGGGCUCCAAGUUUCAAUCGUUUAUCUUCUGCUGAGCUGGACAGCCUGUGUUUAUCCCUGGCUCUGUGACUCACCAACCCCGUUACCUAGGACAAGUCGCUGUCCGUAAGUGACAUGCACAAGGCUACUGACUUGGUGAGAAAGGUGGGUAUAAGCCUUUGGGAAUCACCAUCACUCCCAUCAGAGCUAGAAACACGUCUUGGAGCACCAGCCCCGUUGAUGGGGUUUGUCUCCUGAGAUGCUGACACCAAGGUGGCGUUAAAUGAGGGAAGAUUUUGUGAGGGAAUCUGCCCAUGAGGAAACAUCGGGAAAGGGAAGAGGACGCAGGGAAAGCCAUGAAGCUGCCAAGUGAGUCAGCCCCCAGGUGAAGAGGAGAGGGAGAUGGACAGAUGCCAGGAGGACACUGGCUCUGAAGGUACGCAUAUCUCUGGCAACCCCCUCCCCGCUCCUGUCCUGCAGAGGGGUUCGUGUUUCCC
rnacentral:lncRNA from 1 species